rnacentral:tRNA from 1 species
UAUGGCAGAAAUAUAUGCAAUGAGCUUAAGAUUCAUUUAUAAAGAUUUAUCUUUUAUUAGAA